rnacentral:piRNA from 1 species
UACAGAAAACAAGUAUGUACAGGCCUUUCGU